rnacentral:lncRNA from 1 species
GAGAGAGAGAGAGAGAGAGAGCAGGGCUGCUGUGCUCUCAGGAGCACGAAGGCCUUCGUGCUCCUGAGUCGUUUUCGAUGAUGGAAUUUUCGAAUCGACGAUCAGCUCCGUUAGACUUGAUCUAGUGCAUUUGAAGUUUCUAGAAAAUAAUUUUUGCGAUUUUUUGAUAUCAUUUACCUAGUGAUCGAAAGGAUUCAAAAUUCAUAAUUUUUAAUGGUUGAUAUCUGCCGUUUUCAAGUUUAACGGUGUAGAAUUAUUCAAAUUAGAUGAAAUUUUGAUACAAAAUUUUUUAUACUAUCUAUAAUAAAAUCAAUAUUUAUGAUCGAAAAUUUUAGUGCUAUAUAACUACUUUUUUUAGGAUUUUUAUUUUCAGCCGUUAAAAAUUAUUGAUUUUGAUCCUUUUGAUUGCUAGGUAAAUGAUAUCGAAAAAUCGCAAAAAUUAUUUUCUAGAAACUUCAAAUAUGCUAGAUCAAGUUUAACGGAGCCGAUCGUCGAUUUGGAAACUCCAUCAUCGAAAACGGCUCAGGAGCACGGAGGCCUCCGUGCUCCUAAGAGCACCGCAGCCCUGCUCUAUAUAUAUAUUUAAGAAAUUAUAUAUUCGUAUUCGUAUUUUUUACGAAAUUAUAUUUUCUUAAAAAAUACGAUUGUAUUAUUUAAGAAAUUAUAUUCGUAUUCGUAUUUUUUUUAUUUUUUGAAUGGGAAUUCAUAUACGAAUAUGUGUGAAAUACUAAAUUUUUAAAAUU